AUUGAACGCUGGCGGCAUGCUUUACACAUGCAAGUCGAACGGUAACAGGCCGCAAGGUGCUGACGAGUGGCGAACGGGUGAGUAAUGCAUCGGAACGUGCCCAGUCGUGGGGGAUAACGCAGCGAAAGCUGCGCUAAUACCGCAUACGAUCUGUGGAUGAAAGCGGGGGACCGAAAGGCCUCGCGCGAUUGGAGCGGCCGAUGUCAGGUUAGGUAGGUGGUGGGGGAAAGGCCCACCAAGCCAACGAUCUGCAGCUGGUCUGAGAGGACGACCAGCCACACUGGGACUGAGAAACGGCCCAGACUCCUACGGGAGGCAGCAGUGGGGAAUUUUGGACAAUGGGGGCAAGCCUGAUCCAGCAAUGCCGCGUGCAGGAAGAAGGCCUUCGGGUUGUAAACUGCUUUUGUACGGAGCGAAAAGGCUCUCUCUAAUACAGGGGGCUCAUGACGGUACCGUAAGAAUAAGCACCGGCUAACUACGUGCCAGCAGCCGCCGUAACAC
rnacentral:rRNA from 1 species